UGAGUUUGAUCCUGGCUCAGAACGAACGCUGGCGGCAGGCCUAACACAUGCAAGUCGAACGAGAACCGGGGCUUCGGCCCCGCGGAAAGUGGCGGACGGGUGAGUAACACGUGGGAAUCUGCCCAGCAGUACGGAAUAACCUCGGGAAACCGGUGCUAAUACCGUAUACGCCCUUCGGGGGAAAGAUUUAUCGCUGCUGGAUGAGCCCGCGCCCGAUUAGCUAGUUGGUAGGGUAAAAGCCUACCAAGGCGACGAUCGGUAGCUGGUCUGAGAGGAUGAUCAGCCACACUGGGACUGAGACACGGCCCAGACUCCUACGGGAGGCAGCAGUGGGGAAUAUUGGACAAUGGGGGAAACCCUGAUCCAGCCAUGCCGCGUGAGUGAAGAAGGCCCUAGGGUUGUAAAGCUCUUUCACCAAGGACGAUGAUGACGGUACUUGGACAAGAAGCCCCGGCUAACUCCGUGCCAGCAGCCGCGGUAAUACGGAGGGGGCUAGCGUCGUUCGGAAUUACUGGGCGUAAAGCGCGCGUAGGCGGUAAUCCAAGUCAGGCGUGAAAGCCCCAGGCUCAAC
rnacentral:rRNA from 1 species